AGAGUUUGAUCAUGGCUCAGAACGAACGCUGGCGGCAGGCCUAACACAUGCAAGUCGAGCGAGCUCUUCGGAGCUAGCGGCGGACGGGUUAGUAACGCGUGGGAACGUGCCCUUCACUGCGGAAUAGCCACUGGAAACGGUGAGUAAUACCGCAUACGCCCUUCGGGGGAAAGAUUUAUCGGUGAAGGAUCGGCCCGCGUUAGAUUAGAUAGUUGGUGGGGUAACGGCCUACCAAGUCUACGAUCUAUAGCUGGUUUUAGAGGAUGAUCAGCAACACUGGGACUGAGACACGGCCCAGACUCCUACGGGAGGCAGCAGUGGGGAAUCUUGGACAAUGGGCGCAAGCCUGAUCCAGCCAUGCCGCGUGAGUGAUGAAGGCCUUAGGGUCGUAAAGCUCUUUCGCCAGAGAUGAUAAUGACAGUAUCUGGUAAAGAAACCCCGGCUAACUCCGUGCCAGCAGCCGCGGUAAUACGGAGGGGGUUAGCGUUGUUCGGAAUUACUGGGCGUAAAGCGCACGUAGGCGGAUCAGAAAGUUGGGGGUGAAAUCCCGGGGCUCAACCCCGGAACUGCCUCCAAAACUCCUGGUCUUGAGUUCGAGAGAGGUGAGUGGAAUUCCGAGUGUAGAGGUGAAAUUCGUAGAUAUUCGGAGGAACACCAGUGGCGAAGGCGGCUCACUGGCUCGAUACUGACGCUGAGGUGCGAAAGUGUGGGGAGCAAACAGGAUUAGAUACCCUGGUAGUCCACACCGUAAACGAUGAAUGCCAGUCGUCGGGUAGCAUGCUAUUCGGUGACACACCUAACGGAUUAAGCAUUCCGCCUGGGGAUUACGGUCCCAAGAUUAAAACUCAAAGGG
rnacentral:rRNA from 1 species